rnacentral:rRNA from 1 species
UACAGAGGGUGCGAGCGUUGUUCGGAAUUAUUGGGCGUAAAGGGCGCGUAGGCGGUGCGGUAAGUCACCUGUGAAAUCUCCUGGCUCAACUGGGAGCUUGCAGGCGAAACUGCCGUGCUGGAGUGUGGGAGAGGUGCGUGGAAUUCCUGGUGUAGCGGUGAAAUGCGUAGAUAUCAGGAGGAACACCUGUGGCGAAAGCGGCGCACUGGACCACAACUGACGCUGAGACACGAAAGCGUGGGGAGCAAACAGG